rnacentral:rRNA from 1 species
UACGGGGGGGCAAGCGUUGUUCGGAAUUACUGGGCGUAAAGGGCUCGUAGGCGGCCAACUAAGUCAGACGUGAAAUCCCUCGGCUUAACCGGGGAACUGCAUCUGAUACUGGAUGGCUUGAGUUCGGGAGAGGGAUGCGGAAUUCCAGGUGUAGCGGUGAAAUGCGUAGAUAUCUGGAGGAAUACCGGUGGCGAAGGCGGCAUCCUGGACCGACAUUGACGCUGAGGAGCGAAAAGCUA